GUGUGCUUGCUUCAGCACACAUAUUCUAAAGGACAGGGAACAAUACAGAGGAGAUUACUAUGGCCCCUGUACAUACAGGGUGGUACACAAAUUCCUAAAACACUCCUUGUGUUU
rnacentral:snRNA from 1 species